rnacentral:rRNA from 1 species
AGUCGAGGGGUAUAGCACUUCGGUGCUAGAGACCGGCGCACGGGUGCGUAACGCGUAUGCAAUCUACCUUUUACAGGGGGAUAGCCCAGAGAAAUUUGGAUUAAUACCCCAUGGUAUAGUGAGUUGGCAUCAACCCACUAUUAAAGUCACAACGGUAAAAGAUGAGCAUGCGUCCCAUUAGCUAGAUGGUAAGGUAACGGCUUACCAUGGCUACGAUGGGUAGGGGUCCUGAGAGGGAGAUCCCCCACACUGGUACUGAGACACGGACCAGACUCCUACGGGAGGCAGCAGUGAGGAAUAUUGGACAAUGGGCGCAAGCCUGAUCCAGCCAUGCCGCGUGCAGGAUGACGGUCCUAUGGAUUGUAAACUGCUUUUAUACGAGAAGAAACACUGAUUCGUGAAUCAGCUUGACGGUAUCGUAAGAAUAAGGAUCGGCUAACUCCGUGCCAGCAGCCGCGGUAAUACGGAGGAUCCAAGCGUUAUCCGGAAUCAUUGGGUUUAAAGGGUCCGUAGGCGGUCUAGUAAGUCAGUGGUGAAAGCCCAUCGCUCAACGGUGGAACGGCCAUUGAUACUGCUGGACUUGAAUUAUUAGGAAGUAACUAGAAUAUGUAGUGUAGCGGUGA